UUGGCCACAAGGUGGUGGUAGAAGGCCAUUAUUGUCCCUAAGAUUGAAUUUGAUGAAUUUUCUUAGUGCGCGAAGAAGUGCUCGAUGUGAUCAUCUUUCCGAAAUACGCCAUCUUUACUUUCUCUGUGUGGAUGCUACGCUGGAGCUAGAGCUGGAUUUACUCAGAAAACAAACCAUAAACGAGUUAUUUUGACACUAAAGUUAACUGCAGAAGUUACGGAAGUAGACAAGAAUCAUCAGGCGUCUUUGAGCCACGUAGAAGUCGAUAUUCCGGCUGGUUUUCUGAGGAUUCUCUUCAGUGGGACUUUGAUCUUCAUCCAUCUGCUGCGUGUUGAUGUCCAUCCAUGUCCACAUCUCCAUCUCCAUCACACUGGGAUUGUCCAUCACCUCGGACCGUCUCGUCAGACAUUCAUUAUAAGGAGGAGCAGGGUUCUGUCGCUGCUCCGGCUCCAACGUAUGGCGAGGAAACUUAAAAGUUGCACAGCAUCUCAGGCAGCUCAGAUGUGAUCAGUGAGUCAACGUGACGCCACAAAAACAACAAAACAAAGACGGAGGAUCUGUGGGUUUAAUCCUCAGGACAAGGCUGAAGAGGACUUACCCAAAAGUGAGACAAAAACAUGAAAGUUUCAAAAUGUACAUGAAAUACCCAGAAUUUUCCAAAAUUUAUUGUGUAUUUUGCAAGUUCCACUAUUACUUUUUUGCAUGUUUUUACCUAAAUCUAAUGUGGAAAACAGAAUUAGAUCUUAUAAAGUCCAUUAUGUUUUAAAUUGUCACCUCGUGCCUAUAGAAAAGACACAACUUGAUGCAUAAAAAUUCACUAGAAUGCAAUAAGUUAAGUGUUUGACACUUAAUGACCCCAACAUUUAAAUAAAACCUAUACCCAUUAAUUCACCUUACUAGAAAUGAGGCUAAUUACAGAAUAAACAGUUUUUUCACCAAAAGUUAGAGCAAGUUUUCAACAUUAUUGUGAUCUCUUGACUUUCUUGAUGUUAUUGACACCAAAAACAUGGCAAUUUUUAUUAGACUGUAUAACAAAGAUUGUUAUUAUUAUGGUGGUAAUAGCAUCAUGAUGUGACGCAUGGUGGUGGCAGCAUCAUGACGUGAAGCACGGUGGUGGCGGCAUCAUGAUGUGAAGCACGGUGGUGGCAGCAUCAUGAUAAAUGAUAUUUUUGCAGUAUGAAAGAACUGUGGCCCUAAGACUCUCAGAUGUCCACCCCGUGUCUUUCUAAAAGUACUUAUUCUGGUGAAAACAGUAAAGUCUACCAGGAAUGACCUGAAUGUUAAAGUAAAAAUCACAAACCUUUCAGAACUGACAGUUCACUUCCUGUCCUCUAGAGGCAGAUCUGGAGUCAGCAGCAGUUUAUUAAUAAUUCAUUCCUUCAGUGUGUUUGGAAGCUGAUAUCAGUCUCUCUGUCUGCUGGUUCAGCACCACCCUGCUUCCUCCUCUCAGCCUCUAAAGUCACAGUUUGGGAAAUUUAAUCUUCUGAAAUCAGUCGGGCGGCUACAAGAAGCUGAUAUCUGAUCAUAACAAGCAGAACAAUUGAUAAUGUUUGAUGAGAUCAUCUGUUUUCUGAACCUGUUCGGUUUAUCAUCUUAGAUUUUUCUCAUGUCGCUCCAACUUUUCAUGACUAAAACUCACAAUUUUGGGGCUAGAAGUCACCAAUUAUAAUUGCUAAUCCAAUUUUAUGGAUUUUAAAUCAUUGGCAAGAUGAAAAAUAAAAUAAAAACUUUAGAAAAUGUGAUAAUUUUACUUUUUUAUCUUUAUCUUUCUCCAGAGGGUCCAAUCCGACCCUCAAAGUGUAAAAAUUCCAGAGAAGAUAUUAACUGCAGAUUGUAAAUUAGUAAAACCAUAAAUUUAAAAUAAUUACUAGUUGUUUUGAUCAUAAAGUGAAAUACUAGAUUGUUCAUUGUUCUUUUGUCAUUUUGUGUCUCAUUUUUGUAAUAUUGUGUCUCGUGGUUUUGUUGUUUUGUUUCUUGUUUUUGUCGUUUUGUGUUUCCUUUUUGUCUCGCUUGUGUUUUUUGUCUUAUUUUUGUCAUUUUGUCUUUCGCUUAAUUCUCUUUGUUUUGAGCAUCAUUUUUGUCGUUUUGUCUUUUUUUUGUUUCGCUGGUGUUGUUCUUCCAUGUUUUUGUCGCUUUGUAACUUUUUUGCCUCUUGUUUUGGUUCAUGUCGUUUGUCUAAUUUUUUUUGUCAUUUUAUUUCUCACUUUUGUUGUUUUCUGUCUCAUUGUUGUAAUAUUUUUGUCUUGGUUUUGAUGUUUUUUGUCUUUUUUGUCUGAUUUGUCAUUUGUCUCAUGUUUUUAUCGUUUUGUCAUAUAAAAUAAUUCAACCAUCUAGUACUGAUUAAAACUCACCCAGUUUAGUGUCGGCGCUGCAGUGACCCAAAUUAUGUCAAACUGUGACCCAGUAAUCUGAAUAUUUGGCACUUCAGAUGAAAACAUGAGUCAAAACUCUUUUUUUAAUGUAACUCCAGUGUCUGUGUGCAGAAGUUGACCCAGUUUUAGUUCUAAACAUCGGUGCAGUUCUGGGUUAACUGAUCAAAACCAGUCCAACAUUAGAGUCUGUUCUGAUCAGUUUAACCCACUUCCACCUAAACUUACAUCAGUGUUUCUCUCUGAUCCACGUGUUUGAGACUUUAGAAAGUGCGUCUUGUUUAAUAAAAUUAGCAACACAUCUAUGAGCUUGUUGUGUGUGAAACUGGGCCAAAAAUAUAUAUUUUAUUUCAGUACAUAAGCCAGCAGUAACACAGAACAACUCACUGAUAACACAGUGUUGUUUUAGAUUUUGCAUUUGUGUAAAUCUAACUGGGAAACGUUGAAAAACUGGAAAAUUCAAGUUCUUUUUCCUUAAAAUUCAGAAGCAGCAGUGCUGAAUGUUCAGUUUACGCUGAGAGGAAUCAAAGUCUUUAAGUACAUCUGACGUAAAAACGGCGGCUCUGAUGUUACCUGUGUGCUUUUUUGACUUUUUUGACCCUGAUUUGAACUUGAUUGAUGACCUGAUUGGCUGUGUGUUAAUUAAUGAUGUCAUAUAAGCGCAUUUAAAACCUACAUUUUCAUUUAAAAGCUAUAUGUGAGCCCACAUUUUAAGUCAAAAAUGAGAUUUUUUUUUUUAAGCUGGUUUGUUCUCCUGUCAAUACUGAAGUCAGAAAUUUAAAAAAACAAGAAAAAAAAGUGUAAAAACGUGGAGCUCCUGCGUCGGGUUACAAAACAUCUGCAGACUACCGCUGGGACCAAAGAGGAGGAAGAAGAAAAGGAGGAUGAGGAGAAGGUUGUCAUGGUGACCGGUCCUCCUGCUGACGGGGGUGAUGAUGUAACACCGGGUCUCUUUUCCCGUCCUUGUCCUCCCCACCGACACCAUCACACGGCUGCUUGCAUGUGACAGGAGAGAGUGGAAGACAGACAAAGGAAGAGUCCAGCGAGGGUUCGAAUGACCCCAGAAGACGAGUUAUCUACUUUAAGAACAACCUGCUGCAAUCAACUCCCCAAAAACACACAUUAGUGUUCCUUUUCAACACAACCGAUGCUCGUAAUUUCAAAAGAAGCCCGCUGCUGUCGAGAUAAAACCUGUUUGGUCUCCUGUAGUCGCUGCUCCCUGCCGCUCAGAUCACAUCAUCAAAGCUCUGAGCAUCAUUAAGGCACAAACCACAACAGGAGAGGCUUUUAUUGUGAAGCUGCAGAGGAUGAUUCCUGCCACAUGAGGGCGUCAAUCAGCCACUGAGCUCCAAGGAAGAAGAACAAAAGCAACACAACAGAUGAAACGCUGCAUUCUCAGGUCAGAUUUAAUUCACAGAUUGGAAAUAUACAUCAGUCACAAACAAGCUGUGCAAAGCAGGUAUUUCUAUUUCAAGAUUUGAAAAUAGAAGCAGAAUUUCUUCUUUCAACAAAAUGAGACAUGAAAGGCUUCAAGAGUUAUACUGAACAAAAAAACAAACGCACCACGCCUUCUUUACUUGCCAAGAGAAACGCUUCAAAAUCUGUUUUAUUGUUGGUAGAAGAUGGUUAAAGUUAGCUAAAAGUGCAAAAAAUAUGUUCAACUGGGGACUAAUUCUUAACCACAGAGUUGACUUAGAAGGACAAGAAUCAGAUAGUUUGACCACAGACUCUCCUUUGACCAUCAGCUGCUUUGGCUUCAAACAAAAACCAAGAAGAACU